UACGUAGGGUCCGAGCGUUGUCCGGAUUUAUUGGGCGUAAAGAGCUCGUAGGCGGUUCCGUAAGUCAGAUGUGAAAACUCAGGGCUCAACCCGGAGACGCCAUCUGAUACUGCGGUGACUGGAGUCUGGUAGGGGAACACGGAAUUCCUGGUGUAGCGGUGAAAUGCGCAGAUAUCAGGAGGAACACCGAUGGCGAAGGCAGGUCUCUGGGCCGGAACUGACGCUGAGGAGCGAAAGCGUGGGGAGCGAACAGG
rnacentral:rRNA from 1 species